rfam:Lachnoclostridium sp. An131 An131_contig_19, whole genome shotgun sequence.
CAGUCAAUCUGCUGGGGGCUGAUAAAAUGGAUAUGCGUAUCGAUUCCGCCCGCUGUCACGAUAAGAUUCUCUCCUGCGAGGGCCUCCGUGGACGCUCCCACUGUCAUGCCAGGCGUCACGCCGUCCAUAAUGUCCGGAUUUCCCGCUUUUCCGAUUCCUUUGAUUUUUCCGUCCUUGAUUCCGAUAUCCGCCUUAACGAUACCAUUUACAUCCACGAUCAGCGCAUUGGUAAUCACCAGAUCCAGAUCUCCGUCCGCGCUUUUCGUCUUCACAGACUGUCCCAUACCAUCACGG